ensembl:snRNA U4 U4 spliceosomal RNA
AAGCAUAAGCAUAACCUCACCUUAGCCAGUGAGGUUUAUUCCAGGUGCAAUUAUUGCUAAUUGAUAAUGUUUCCCAAUAUCCCACCAUAACAACUUGAAACAUAGUUGGUAUUGGUGAUUUUUGACAGUCUCUAGUGA